UAAUCAAUAGUGCUUCCAAUACAUUCUGUAUUAGUCUCUUGAAAAUCCCCUAACAUAUUUUAAAGUUCUGUUUCUUCCAUCUUAUUAACUCAAUAUACAAGUCAUAAUGUCAAUUUAUAAAAAACAAGUCAUAAAUAAUUGCUGCCAGACAGUGGAAUUUUUUUAAAUGAUAUGCAGUAUUCUAGUAUGAAACUGAGUUUAAGCAGUAUUGAUAAAGUCAUUUCUUUUCAAUCUAUAAAUGUAUCCUGACAGGUAGAAAAUCUGCAUAAAACAGAAGGCAGGUAAAACCUUUAAAAUCUCACAUUUCAGCCAGAUAGAAUAUGUUAUGAAAAUCAGUAAAAUAAAAUAUGAUUUUCUUCCUACUAUGAAUAUGUUAUAUUAUAUCAUAAGAAUAUUAGCCUCUUGUGGGCAAGAGCUUUCACAGGACUACAUUACUCAGCCAGUUUUCACCUGUACUUACAGAUAUAUAGUUGUUAUUCCUCUUUCAUGCUGAGACCUGCUUUUCCUUGUAGGGCUGUGUGCUAAGUCGCUCCAAUCUUGUGUGACUCUUUGCGACCCUGUCCGUGGGAUUCACCGGGCAAGAAUACUGGAGUGGGUUGCCAUGCCCUUCCUCAUCUUGUUUCAUAUUUAAUGGUAAUUGUAUUAUCAUGUCUGGAGAAGUGUGAGGAGAAUAAAAAAGCUUCAUUACCUACCGAACUAUACCAGCAUACUGCUGCAAGACCAUGAAGAAGACUGUGAGAAGAUGCCUUGGUUGUGCUCCGUGAGGUACCAGUGGAUGGGGCCAGAACCGAGAAUCAACUUCCAAGACAACGGCUUUCCUCCCGUGUCCGACGCCUCGGGCCCCUGGCUGUCUCUCUCACUCUUCCACUCUUAAGCCACGAUGCUUGACGCCCCGGUGCUUUUCCGCAUGGCCUGGCUUCCCACAGCAUGGCAGUAUCAGGCUGUUUACACAUCUCACAGUGGUUUCUUGACGUAGAGUAACAGGGAAUAGAAGCCAUCAGGCCAGUGAAAGUGUCCUCUUCAACUUGCAGCCAAUCACUUCGGUGGUAUUCCACUAAGCAGAGCAAUCGCAAGGUCCAUGCAGACACAAGGGAACGGAGACGUGGAGUUCACUAUCUCUGCAAAGUGACACAGUCGCAGCAACGUAUGCGACCGGAGAUGUUGUGAAGGCCAUCUCUAAAAAGCAUGAUCUCUCAUCUUUGAAGUUGAAAUGGAUGCUUCUUUGUAGGUUAUUUUGUGUUUUAAAACCAAGGAAUAAAGAAGAGAAUAUCAGUGGUACAAUUUAGUAGGUACAUAAAUUGUAUCUUUUAUAUAAUAUUGAUUUUAUUAAAAUGUACUUAUCCGUUA